CCUAGGUUAGCUCAGUCGGUAGAGCGCUCCACUGGAAAUGGAGAGCCCCGGGCUCGGUACUCGAGCAAGGC
rnacentral:tRNA from 1 species